rnacentral:rRNA from 1 species
CCGCUAAGCCUAAAUAUUCCCUGGUGACCGAUAGCGGAUAGUACCGUGAGGGAAUGGUGAAAAGUACCGCGGGAGCGGAGUGAAAUAGUACCUGAAACCGUGUGCCUACAAGCCGUGGGAGCGUCGCCGUGUUCUUCGGAGCACGGUCGUGACUGCGUGCCUUUUGAAGAAUGAGCCUGCGAGUUUGCGGUGUGUUGCGAGGUUAACCCGUGUGGGGAAGCCGUAGCGAAAGCGAGUCCGAAUAGGGCGGUUUAGUAGCGCGCUCAAGACCCGAAGCGGAGUGAUCUAGCCAUGGGCAGGUUGAAGCGCGGGUAAGACCGUGUGGAGGACCGAACCCACCAGGGUUGAAAACCUGGGGGAUGACCUGUGGUUAGGGGUG